CCCGCACAAGCGGUGGAGUAUGUGGUUUAAUUCGACGCAACGCGCAGAACCUUACCUAGGCUUGACAUCCCGGGAAUUGCUGGAAACAGUGAAGUGCUUUCAUUAGAAAGAGCCCGGUGACAGGUGCUGCAUGGCUGUCGUCAGCUCGUGUCGUGAGAUGUUGGGUUAAGUCCCGCAACGAGCGCAACCCUCGCCUUUAGUUGCCAGCAUUCAGUUGGGCACUCUAAAGGGACUGCCGGUGUCAAACCGGAGGAAGGUGGGGAUGACGUCAAGUCCUCAUGGCCUUUAUGUCUAGGGCUACACACGUACUACAAUGGCAGGUACAAAGGGCAGCGACACAGCGAUGUGAUGCGAAUCCCGAAAAGCCUGUCUCAGUCCGGAUCGGAGUCUGCAACUCGACUCCGUGAAGUUGGAAUCGCUAGUAAUCGUGGAUCAGCAUGCCACGGUGAAUACGUUCCCGGGCCUU
rnacentral:rRNA from 1 species